GACGAACGCUGGCGGCGUGCUUAACACAUGCAAGUCGAACGGAAAGGCCCUGCUUUUGUGGGGUGCUCGAGUGGCGAACGGGUGAGUAACACGUGAGUAACCUGCCCUUGACUUUGGGAUAACUUCAGGAAACUGGGGCUAAUACCGGAUAGGAGCUCCUGCUGCAUGGUGGGGGUUGGAAAGUUUCGGCGGUUGGGGAUGGACUCGCGGCUUAUCAGCUUGUUGGUGGGGUAGUGGCUUACCAAGGCUUUGACGGGUAGCCGGCCUGAGAGGGUGACCGGCCACAUUGGGACUGAGAUACGGCCCAGACUCCUACGGGAGGCAGCAGUGGGGAAUAUUGCACAAUGGGCGGAAGCCUGAUGCAGCAACGCCGCGUGCGGGAUGACGGCCUUCGGGUUGUAAACCGCUUUCGCCUGUGACGAAGCGUGAGUGACGGUAAUGGGUAAAGAAGCACCGGCUAACUACGUGCCAGCAGCCGCGGUGAUACGUAGGGUGCGAGCGUUGUCCGGAUUUAUUGGGCGUAAAGGGCUCGUAGGUGGUUGAUCGCGUCGGAAGUGUAAUCUUGGGGCUUAACCCUGAGCGUGCUUUCGAUACGGGUUGACUUGAGGAAGGUAGGGGAGAAUGGAAUUCCUGGUGGAGCGGUGGAAUGCGCAGAUAUCAGGAGGAACACCAGUGGCGAAGGCGGUUCUCUGGGCCUUUCCUGACGCUGAGGAGCGAAAGCGUGGGGAGCGAACAGGCUUAGAUACCCUGGUAGUCCACGCUGUAAACGGUGGGUACUAGGUGUGGGGUCCAUUCCACGGGUUCCGUGCCGUAGCUAACGCUUUAAGUACCCCGCCUGGGGAGUACGGCCGCAAGUCUAAAACUCAAAGGAAUUGACGGGGCCCCGCACAAGCGGCGGAGCAUGCGGAUUAAUUCGAUGCAACGCGUAGAACCUUACCUGGGUUUGACAUGGAUCGGGAGUGCUCAGAGAUGGGUGUGCCUCUUUUGGGGUCGGUUCACAGGUGGUGCAUGGCUGUCGUCAGCUCGUGUCGUGAGAUGUUGGGUUAAGUCCCGCAACGAGCGCAACCCUUGUUCACUGUUGCCAGCACGUUAUGGUGGGGACUCAGUGGAGACCGCCGGGGUCAACUCGGAGGAAGGUGGGGAUGACGUCAAGUCAUCAUGCCCCUUAUGUCCAGGGCUUCACGCAUGCUACAAUGGCUGGUACAGAGAGUGGCGAGCCUGUGAGGGUGAGCGAAUCUCGGAAAGCCGGUCUCAGUUCGGAUUGGGGUCUGCAACUCGACCUCAUGAAGUCGGAGUCGCUAGUAAUCGCAGAUCAGCAACGCUGCGGUGAAUACGUUCCCGGGGCU
rnacentral:rRNA from 1 species